UACGUAGGGUCCGAGCGUUGUCCGGAAUUACUGGGCGUAAAGAGCUCGUUAGGUGGUUUGUCGCGUUGUUCGUGAAAACUCACAGCUCAACUGUGGGCGUGCGGGCGGAUACGGGCAGACUAGAGUACUGCAGGGGAGACUGGAAUUCCUGGUGUAGCGGUGGAAUGCGCAGAUAGUCAGGAGGAACACCGGUGGCGAAGGCGGGUCUCUGGGGCAGUAACUGACGCUGAGGAGCGAAAGCGUGGGGAGCGAACAGG
rnacentral:rRNA from 1 species